rfam:Drosophila mojavensis strain TSC#15081-1352.22 Ctg01_9878, whole genome shotgun sequence.
GCGCCGGUGGUGCAGUGGCUAGCAUGGUUGUUCCCCAAGCAGCUGAUCCGGGUUCGAUUCCCGGCCGGCGCA